GCUUACAAUAGUUUUUGCUGGGAUUAUAUUAAUUCUGCUAUGUAUUUGGAUUGCGUGGAAGCGUUUUGAAUUCUGUCAUAUUAUGUCAGCAGUUCCUGGUCCCAAGGCUUGGCCUGUCGUUGGCAAUGCAUUGCAAUUGAAGAGGGAUCCACACGGUACGAGAUUCUUAGAAAGUAUUACCAGAAAGUUGGGUUUACAUUUGAAGUUUUCUGC